GGGCUCGUGGUCUAGACGGUUAUGACCUCGCCUUCACACGGCGGAGGUCCUGAGUUCGAAUCUCAGCGGGCCCA
rnacentral:tRNA from 1 species